GCUUACGGCCACACCCUCUGGUUCACGCCCGAUCUUGUUUGAUCUCGGAAGCUAAGAUAGGUUGGGCCUGGUUAGUACUUGGAUGGGAGACCGCCUAGGAAUACCAGGUGCUGUAAGCC
rnacentral:rRNA from 1 species